UUACGGCCAUAUCAGGUUGAAACAUCAGUUCUCAUACGAUCACCGAAGUAAAGCAGCGUCAAGACUGGUCAGUACUUAGAUGGGUGAUCGCACGGGAAUACCAGGUGCUAUA